GAUGAACGCUGGCGGCGUGCUUAACACAUGCAUGUCGAACGAAGCACUUUAUUUGAUUUCCUUCGGGACUGAUUAUUUUGUGACUGAGUGGCGGACGGGUGAGUAACGCGUGGGUAACCUGCCUUGUACAGGGGGAUAACAGUUGGAAACGGCUGCUAGUACCGCAUAAGCGCACAGCAUCGCAUGAUGCAGUGUGAAAAACUCCGGUGGUAUAAGAUGGACCCGCGUUGGAUUAGCUAGUUGGUGAGGUAACGGCCCACCAAGGCGACGAUCCAUAGCCGACCUGAGAGUGUGACCGGCCACAUUGGGACUGAGACACGGCCCAAACUCCUACGGGAGGCAGCAGUGGGGAAUAUUGCACAAUGGGCGAAAGCCUGAUGCAGCGACGCCGCGUGAGCGAAGAAGUAUUUCGGUAUGUAAAGCUCUAUCAGCAGGGAAGAUAAUGACGGUACCUGACUAAGAAGCACCGGCUAAAUACGUG
rnacentral:rRNA from 1 species